rnacentral:rRNA from 1 species
AGAGCGAACGCUGGCGGCAGGCUUAACACAUGCAAGUCGAGCGCGUGUAGCAAUACACGAGCGGCAGACGGGAGAGUAACACGUGGGAACGCGCCCUUCGGUUCGGAAUAACUCAGGGAAACUUGAGCUAAUACCGGAUACGCCCUUACGGGGAAAGAUUUAUUGCCGAAGGAACGGCCCGCGUCCGAUUAGCUAGUUGGUGAGGUAACGGCUCACCAAGGCGACGAUCGGUAGCUGGUCUGAGAGGAUGACCAGCCUCACUGGGACUGAGACACGGCCCAGACUCCUACGGGAGGCAGCAGUGGGGAAUAUUGGACAAUGGGCGCAAGCCUGAUCCAGCCAUGCCGCGUGGAUGAUGAAGGCCUUAGGGUUGUAAAGUCCUUUUAACGGGGAAGAUAAUGACGGUACCGUAGAAUAAGCCCGGCUAACUUCGUGCCAGCAGCCGC